rnacentral:rRNA from 1 species
GAUGAACGCUGGCGGCGUGCCUAAUACAUGCAAGUCGAACGGACAGACGAGGAGCUUGCUCCUCUGACGUUAGCGGCGGAGGUGUGUGUAACGCGUGUAUAACCUACCUAUAAUACUGGUAUAACUUCGGGAAACCGGCGCUAAUACCGUAUGAUAUAUUGAACCGCGUGGUUCAAUGGUGAAUUACGGUGUUUCGGGCACGUAUAGAUGGUUCCGCGCCGCAUGAGCUGGUUGUGAAGUUAACGGCUUACCAAGGGGACGAUGCGUAGCCGAGCUGAGAGGGUGAUAGGCCACACUGGAACUGAGCCACCGUCAAGGCUACUACGGGACGCCGCAGUAGGGAAUCUUCGGCAAUGGGCGAAAGCCUGACGGAGUAACGCCGCGUGAGUGAUGACGGUCCUCGGAUCGGAAAACUCUGUUAUUAGGGAAGAACAACUGUGUAAGUAAAUAUGCACGUAUUGACGGUAAUUAAUCAGAAAGCAACGGCUAACUACGUG